rnacentral:tRNA from 1 species
AGUUCGGUCGUCCAAGGGAAGGAUAGCCGCCUAUCACGCGGGAGAUGCGGGUUCGAUUCCCGCCUGAACUCC